UUCUGAAAAGGUGUCAGUGUAUACGACCGUAUAGGUCAAUGUGAGGCAUAUACACCACCUAACUUUUUUUAUACGGACCUCAUAGCACUAUGUGAGGCAUAUGUAUUUACUUUUUCUGAAAAAGUGGUUGGAUUUUGUACUUUAUACGCAUCUCAUUGUGCUAUGAGUGGCGUAUUGAUUCUUUUUUUUUCUAAUAUUACGUACGAGAAAGUGUAAUCCAUAUCCAUUUUUACAUUCACAAUGGUUAUGUGUAGAUGUGGAAGGCAAGCUGGGAUAAAAACAUCUUGGACGGAUAUUAAUCCUGGGCGUCAAUUUUACACCUGCGUGCAAUUGCGUUCUCGGUGCAAAUUCUUUGCGUGGAUCGACCCUCCCAUGUGUCCUCGGUCAGUUCAAGUCAUCCGAGGUUUGAUGGAUACGAAAGCAUUACUUGAAAACGAAGUCAAGUUUUUGAGAGAGGAGGUUCGAAUGUAUAAAGAGCAAGUAGCAUAAAUGGAAAAUAAAAAUCCAAGGGUCGUUCUUAAUAGGGACACCUGUUUGAUAAUCUGUUGGAUUUUGUUUUUUUUUUUUGUCCGUAUUUGUAUUUGUCGUUAGCCGUAUUUAAGUUUAUGCAACUUAUGUAAACGAAUGUAAUGACUCUCGUAUUUUGGUUAUUUAGCGGAAUGUUAUGUCU